rnacentral:rRNA from 1 species
UACAGAGGUCCCAAGCGUUGUUCGGAUUCACUGGGCGUAAAGGGUGCGUAGGUGGUAAGGCAAGUCAGGUGUGAAAUCUCCGGGCUCAACUCGGAGCCUGCAGAGGAAACUGCCGUGCUGGAGUGUGGGAGAGGAGAGUGGAAUUCCCGGUGUAGCGGUGAAAUGCGUAGAUAUCAGGAGGAACACCGGUGGCGAAGGCGGGUCUCUGGGCAGUAACUGACGCUGAGGAGCGAAAGCGUGGGGAGCGAACAGG